UUUUCAAAGGGUUUAUGACCAAACCCACUCGCAGACCGACAAACAAGUCAUUGUGGAUGGCUUUGAUGAGGAGUUCAGGGCCAAACACAAAAGGAUCCACACCUGAUUGUCCAUUGUAAAAAAAGUGGUCAGAUCUGAAGAGGAGGAACCUCGAUCUGAUCACUAAGAUCCGAGACAAGAAAUGCCCAGAAUUGUCAAGAGCUUCAAGGAGAGAGGUUAAAUUGCUGCCAAGAAGGCUUCAGGACACCCAAAAAGUGCAGCAAGAGAUCCAGCAAUCUCCUAAACAGGAUUCAGCUGCAGGAUUGGUUCAACAACAGUGCAGAGCAUGUUCAUUAAUGGCAGUAGGCUCGGUAAACAAGACAUUGGAAUUUUGAGCCCAUGGGCAGGAAACUCAUCUGAUCCUAAUCCUAUUGAGAACCUGUGGGCAAAUCUCAAAAAGCAAGUGGACAAACAAAUUCAACGAAAUUGUGAUAAACUUCAAGCACUAACUAGUACUCAGACAGCGCUUCCUCCUGAUGAAAGCAGCAUUUGCCUGGGAAUGAACCAGAAGACAUGAAAGGAACGCGCACAGAGGGCCACAGUG